GCCAGGGGCUGUGCGUCUGCUCAGGGCUGUGCAGCCCAAACGGCACUGCGGAGCCCACACAAAGUGGUAUUGCAGUGUUGGCUGAGGAAAAGCAAACAGCUGUCCAUUUCCAUUUAGUGUGGCUGGAACUGGCCAUACAGAUUUUAUUAUAUGCUCUGCAACAGCUCUCCAGACAUUUUGAAAGUUCUUUUCCUGUCCAUGCUUCCGUCAUUGCUUUAUUUUCCUCUCUACCAUAAAGCACUGGUUUCUAGGAAGCAGGGCCCUUCAUAAUGGGAAAAAAAGGCAUUAUUGAGUCACACCUGCCAUUUUAUAGCAAGGUGCCCACUGCCUGGCUGAGCUUACUGCUCUGUGCACAGGAGCAGGGGGACACGGGUGAGAUCUCCUUGUGGAUGGGGGUUCUGGUGGGUGUCCCCAGGAUGGAGCCAGGUGCCCCUGGGCCUGGGGAAGCGUGGCUGGAGCCAUCCCCUCUGCAGGAGACACCAUUGCUCAUUCAAGUGAAUGGAAGAAACAGAAUGCAGCAUUUCAGAGAAGCAGCGUCACAGACUGGUAGGGCUACAAGGACCUCCCAGCUCCGGCUGCCCAGGGCCCAGCCACGGCCUCGGCACCUCCAGGGAUGGGGCACCCACAGCUCUGGGCAGCAGUGCUGGGGCCUCACCGCCUCCAGGUGAAAAACUUCCCCCUCACAUCUGAUCCAAACCUCCCCUUUUAGCUGAAAGCCACCCCCCCCCCCCCUCGUUCUGUCGCUAUCAGACCAUGUAAAAAAUCACUCUCCUCCUGUUUUUAAGUUCCCCUCAAGUACUGACGGCCGCAGUGAGGUAACCCCAAGCCCUCAGCCUGGCCCCAUAGCAGAGCUGCUCCAAUCUCAAACCAUCUCUCUCUUGCUGUCUGGACUAUGAUUCACACCGUGCUGCUGAUCACCACCCAGCUUCCUCCUGCCCCUCUCCUCUCUGUGUGCAGUGCCUGCGCCUCCCUUCUGUGCUCCCUGCAGGUGGAGAUGCACCGCUGCUCUCCAGCACCCUGUGCCCCAUUGCAGGGCUGCUUCCUCGGGAGGACCUCCAAAUGGUGGCCAGAAUGGAUGGUGGGAACACACUAUGGGGAAACGUGAGUGCUGCUGGGUGCAUUAUGUCUGCUAAGGGCUGCCAGGCAUGCUCUGAGCCGCGAUGUGGGGCUGCCAUGUGGCAAUCCCUGCAGAGCUAUGGAGCAUCAAAGGAAACGGGCAGGAUGUUGGAAAUUAGGGAAAAUUGCACGUAAUUAGUUGCUGUGUCUCUUCUGAAGGUUGCCUACUGCACGGAGGCCUUGUGGUGACUCACCAGAGCAGGAUUUGGGUGCUGUGUGCCAGCAGGGCUUCCAACAGAGCACACGGCUUCGUGCUGCUUCAGAAACUCCAGAGGUCUGAGCUGAAGUUACAGCAUGUGACAAAAUAAAAAGAAAUAACGCAAAUAAUGUAGUCCUUCUAUUUUAAUAAGGCGACUUUUACCUUACUCUGAUUCUUUUCUUGGGGCAGGAAAUUGUACGGGAAGAACCAGGGAUGGCGAAGGAGCUGCACUCUAAGACAGCCCCAUGGCCUCCUCUGGGCUCCAAAAGGAACCAGGCUCAGGACCAGGUAUUCUACUGCACUUUUAUUCUGACAGAUACAAUGCACAUUGAGUUGGCACACAAACAAGCUUGUUUUUAAGGCAAAUGAUCUCAAAAUAGUUUUCCCAUUCACUGCUUCCAUAAAAUCUGACAGAAGUACAACGUAUUGAACUCGGCACUAGGAAUGCUUCCAUAGAGGAAUUUAAAUACAUCACAUAGAAAGGCACCUUUAAAGAAAUGCAACAAAAAUACACCUUCCCACUCGACCAAGUAAUGGGAAAGAAAAGCUCCAAUUUCUGCUCAAGCUUUUUGAAUCCAUCUCUGAAAGCGCGUUCCUCUGCCAUGCUGCGUUGUGGCCAGCAUGGCUGGCAAAUGGUGCUCCCACCCCUCGGCUGCAAACAAAGAAAGCAGACAUUCUCCUCCAUUUUCUGAUAUUUAAAGUAGAUUCUUCGUGUUAGCACACACAGGGACCAAGAGAACAGCCUUUACCCACACCCAGAGCUGUCCUGCUUCACUAUGGAAAGGCAUGGAGCAACAGAGCUAUGUUAAGGGAAAGGUGAAACCAUCCAUGACUUGCUUAUGAAUAACAAGCACACAAGCAUUUAACCACUGCCACACACUUUACACUCCACAUCAAAGGAAAGAACAGCAUUUUCCUGUUGUGGCUGCAAAGGGGCUGAUAGAGGAGGCCAUGAGUCACCCUUCUGCCAACCACGUGCAGCCCCAGCAGGCCCACACUCCGGCCCUGCAGCUCACCAGUGGUUCAGCCCCACUCCUGAGGUCAUCCUGACACACUGUGCAGGCACUGGGCUCGUUGUGCACGCAGCCUGAACAACAGCAGUCCUCUGGACAGAACAUCAGGCUUGUAGAUUACAACAUAACUCUUAAAAACGUGUGACUGCUGUGAGGCACUUCUCAGAGCCCCAGGGCAGCUGCUGCUUCCAGCUGUGCCCCGUGCCAUGCUCCCAGCUGCAAGGAGCUCGUGGGCACCCACCAGCACUGAGCAGCACUGAGCAGCACUGAGCAUCCUCCUGCCCCCAGGGCAGCACUGCACCCAGGUGCCCAGCACAGCUCUAGGCUGGCUCCUGGGGAAAGCAGGGCUUCAGCCUCCAGCCGCACUCCAACGCCCACCCACACAAAAGCAGACUUCUGUAGAUGGUGGCUCUGCCCUCAGAUGAGAUAUCGUUGCUGAUGUGGUGAUAGCAACCAGACAACACAGCAGUGGAACAGGAAAAGCGGUUUCUCUUUUUAGUACUUUUAUAAGCAAAGGCAGAGAAGCAAAAAUCCAGGCUCUAUAUCAGAGAUUCCCAGAUGCAGGAUUACACUUGCCAUUAAGGCCCCUGAAUUCAGUAUUACAUGGCACGUAGCACACGGUGGACAACUACCUGAUAUACUGUAAUUGCAUGUAAUUUUGCCUAAGAGGCCAUUAAACAGGAGACAUUAUGGACCAUCACCUACAAAAAAGGCAAAGAAAAUGGGGAGAAACGUAGUCCUUGUGGAAAUGAGCCUCAGACGUUCUAACAAAUGGGCGAGGAUUCAGUUUUCUGACAAAACCUGAACAACAGCUGGAGGAAAGAUGUGAUCAAUGCAUUCUUCUCCCCAUCUCUUCCAGUCUGCUUUAUUCUUAAAAUUUCCCAAAGCUGCCAUAUCCUCGAAAUUUGUCUUUGUGGAGGAAAGAAGAAAGAGAGAAAGAGAGUUGCAUCCUGUAGCACUCUGUAGGGCGUUUCAAUAAUGAAGAAGCUCUGAGCGAUGUCCCCACUGCUUCAGAAUCGUUUGAGGUUCAUUUUGUUCCUGGACGUGCACAUUUCCAAAUAAAACCACCCAUACAAAAGCCGUCUUUUUGCCUUUGUAAACCUUUGCCACUAAUCUACAGGAAGACGAACACUCACUGUCUCCUGCAACCUGUUUAUCACUCUCUCCAUCUGUGCAAAGUAGCUUUAUAGUGGGCUCUGCUUUCAGCAACCUGUGUGAUGUGUGGGUGCUCCACAGGCUGCUAUAAAAAAGAAAGCAAAGCGGCACAGCCUUCCCACUGCUGCUGCCUGCCCAGCGCUGCACCCUGCCCUGCAGUGAGCCGACCCCAGCAUCCACACGGAACGAGCAUCCACCAGGACAAUGCAGGCCUCCUUCAUUCUCAAAAGGGAAUGAUCCACCAUCACCGCUACAACUCAACCUUCUGUUCAAAGCCGUGGAAAUCCAAAUCAAAACCCCACGUUUUAUAUUAAUGUCGUCUGCCAUUUUCUCUCCUUGUCCAUCCAGAAAAACGAGGACGAAAGACUCUCUGAGGCAAAUAAUCUAAGUGUUAAGGUUACACAUAGGAGUGGCUCUCUUCCAUAAUUAAUCUGUUGAAUCUGUUCCAAGCUUCCCCUGAUAGGAAAAUCACUUUUUCCGACCUUAACACAAGACCAAAAAGUCCCUCCAAGCUCCACUUAGGCAGACAACAAGUCGUAUUCUGCAGCUCCAUUGGGAACUGCAGUAACAACAGAAUUCAGCCACAUCCAGGCUGGAUGUGGCUCUGGGCAGCCUGCUCUGGUGGUUGGUGACCCUGCACACAGCAGGCGGUUGAAACUGGAUGAUCACUGUGGUCCUUUUCAACCCAGGCCAUUCUGUGACUCUAUGAAAACCAAUCCCCCUGUCUACAUUUGAGAAUUUUUGGCACAUGGGAUAAAUAUUAUUUGGCACUCUAAGGCUGCUCAGCCCUGCCGCUUUCCGCUGUCCAUGCAGAUGUGAACGUGCGACAGACGCCCAAUUCACAGUAAGACAUAAAGCCAUGUGCUGGCCAAAGCAGUCUCCAU
rnacentral:lncRNA from 1 species